rnacentral:rRNA from 2 species
UACGGAGGGUGCAAGCGUUAUCCGGAUUCACUGGGUUUAAAGGGUGCGUAGGUGGGCCUGUAAGUCAGUGGUGAAAUCUCCGGGCUUAACCCGGAAACUGCCAUUGAUACUAUAGGUCUUGAAUUAUCUGGAGGUCAGCGGAAUAUGUCAUGUAGCGGUGAAAUGCUUAGAUAUGACAUAGAACACCAAUUGCGAAGGCAGCUGGCUACAGGUUGAUUGACACUGAGGCACGAAAGCGUGGGGAUCAAACAGG